CGGGUUUUAGUGAACCACAGGUUAUAUAUGAGAUUGCCUGUGAUAAUAAGCUAAGCUACCACUGGGAUAACAGUGUAAUAUUCGGCUAGAGAUCUUAUCAAACCGAAUGUUUGCCACCUCGAUGUUGAAUUGCCCUAUCCUCCUGGUGCAGCCGCUAGGAAGGGUUCGACUGUUCGUCGAUUAAAAGGGUACAUGAUUUGAGUUCAAAGCGUCGUGAGACAGCUUGGAUUAUAUCUUCGGUAUCAAUAAAAAACGAGUAAAGUGAAAGUCUUCGUACGCAAGGAUUGGAUUUUCCACUUCAAUGGUGU
rnacentral:rRNA from 1 species